UUGCAUGUUGGUAUUCCACUCCA
rnacentral:piRNA from 1 species